CCGCGCGCACGAGGCUCCGCCACACCACGCAGAGGAAAUGUGGGGCGCAAACAAAAACAAGGCAGCCCCGGCGCGGGGCUGGGGCCGCCCGGGCAGCCUGCCGCUCCCUCCGCGGCCCCGUCCUCCUCCUCCUCCUCCUCCUUCUCUCUUUCUCCUUCUCCUCCUCCACCUCCUCUUCCUCCGCGGGGAUGCGUGGGGGGCUCGCUCGGCUCGGGCGUCGCUGCAGCGGCAGGAAGCCGCGGGUCCCGCGCCGGGCACCUCUGGCCGCUGUCACCGGGCCGCUUCCGUCGCUGCCGCCGCCCUGGGAGGGCUGGGCCCGGGAGUCUCCAGCGCUUGGGGCCCGGAGCUCUCUCUUCUGUGAGCCGGGGACCCCCCCGCCGCCGCCACCAUCAUCACCGCCUCCUCCGCCUCCUCCACCGGCUUGGUGCGUGCGUCUGGCCGGCCUCUCGCUGGCUCUCUCGGUCUGGAAACACGUGGGCUUUGACACACCGCGGUGUGUGUGUGUGUGUGUGUGUCUCGCUGCCGCCCGAGAGCAGAGCGGAGAGCCAGCGAGGGAGGAGUGGGAGGAGGGAAGGGGAAAGAAAGCGAAGUCAUCUCAGUGCUCCUCCUAAUGCCCGAGCCGGGCCACCGCAGCUUUGCGCUGGUGUGCCCGAGGCUCCCCGGCUGCUCGCGGCGGGGAGGGGACCGUGCCCCGACCGCGCUCCUGGCGCCGCGCUGCUCGGGCCACCGAGAAGUUUCCGAGGGCCUCUGUGCUUGGCCAGGAUGGAUGCUCACCCUGGGAGGAGAGAGGCAGACAGAGAGAAAGAGCGAGAGAGGAGGGAAGGGAGGGAGGGAGAGAGAGAGACAGACAGACAGGGAGAGAAGAGAAAGGAAAGAGAGGAGAGGGGGAAAGAGAGAGAGGAGAAAGAGAGAAGAAAGAUAAGAGAAGGGGGAAGAGAGAGAGACAGAGAGAAGAAAGGAAAGAGAGGGGGAGAGAGAAGAAAGGAAAGAGGGGGAAAAGAGGAGAGAGAGGAAAAAGAAAAGAAAGGGAAGAGAAAAAAGGGAAAGAGAAAGGAAAGAGGAGAGAGGGGGGAAGAAAAAAAGAAAGGAGAAAGGAAAGAGAGAGGAGGGGAAAGAGGAAGAGGAGAGAGAGAGAGAGCACCCACAAAAGCCAAAGAGAAAAAAGCAGAGACCCUGGAGAGACAAUUUUCAGUCUUGUAUUUGGCCUGGGCCUGA
rnacentral:lncRNA from 1 species